rnacentral:misc_RNA from 1 species
AACCAUAGAAACCUGCGGAGUACCUGCGGAGGGAUCAUUCAAAAGUGUCUAAAUAUGGACAGCUUUAUCCAUAUUCACCUUGUGUGCACUGUUUCACCGUUGACUUUGGCAUGUUUAUUGAGCUCGACGAAGGUUUUACCAACUUUCUGUGGUGCCUCAGACAUGUAAAGAGGGAUCCUUAUGGAACUCUGCGCGUGUGGCAUGCCAAAGUUUUUUUUUAUCCAACGAAAACACUUGAAA